UUUGCACACAAACCCAAAAGACAUUCUAUUUUAUCGUUUAAUGUCUUUCUUUAGGUGUGCGGAAAUGAAUUGUACCUUGUCGCCUUUUUGAAACUUUUAUGAUGUUUCUAAAAGUGAAAUUGAAGGUACUACAUAA